rnacentral:lncRNA from 1 species
CUCAGAGGGGGGCCAGAGGGAGGGCAGGAGAGGAAAGAAAAGAAAGCUGGUGAGUUUUUUGGAUACUAAGUGACCCCAUCAUGGAAAUAAACAAGCCCUUCUCUCUCAGGAUAUGUUACCAGCCAUCUCCAACUCCAACUGCAGUUGUCAGCUCCUCACCAGAAAUAGAACUACUGACCCCACGAAAAAUUCUACUGAGAGGAGAGAGAGUUAAAGAAUUUUAAUGAAGGCCUACUUUAAAAAGGGCAUCAAUGUGCUCCUCUGCACAAACGUCUCCUGUCAGCAUCCAGAGAGACCCAAAGAUGCACUUCAGGUGGGAGAGCAUCGCCCCUCUACGCAGCCAGGGAGGACUGGUCCUGUUGGGCAGGUAUGGGGACAGAAAGAAACUUAGACGUGGGGAGGGGCGUUGGGGGGAGAGGAGGGCCCAGAGGACUGGAUCUUUCCUCUCCGGAGACUGCUGUGCCUUUUCUUCCACCUGGUUCCUGGCGGGGAGUCCUGGCCCUCCCUUGGGGGGCCUGUUGAAACAGUGAAAGCACAGGUCAGCCAUCAGGCAAAUAAUAAACAUAUUUGCGUUGCACGUCUGUUAAGCCUGUUUAAUGGGUCGUCCCUACAUGGAAAUGGGCUUCCUACCCCAGCCCCCUUCGCUCCACCUGUAUCAACAACAAUGCCUCCGCACAAUUAUCUUACCUUAAUGAACUUAAUCUUUAAUUUCCCAGCUUGGCCCUGGUACUCAGCCUCCUAACAAAGGAAGUGGGACUGUUUGAGUCCCCGUGAGCCGCCUUCCUCCAACAGCUAGGGAAACUUUAGCCACGACAAGGAUUUUUGCCCCUUGUGGAACUGUCAAAAGCAAUAAAUAUUUUUCUUUUUAUUCCAUCAUUAGACCCUCCU